rnacentral:rRNA from 1 species
AUUGAACGCUGGCGGUAUGCUUAACACAUGCAAGUCGAACGGUAACAGGCCUUCGGGCGCUGACGAGUGGCGGACGGGUGAGUAACGCGUAGGAAUCUGCCUCAUAGUGGGGGACAACGUGUGGAAACGCACGCUAAUACCGCAUACGCCCUACGGGGGAAAGCGGGGGACCUUCGGGCCUCGCGCUAUGAGAUGAGCCUGCGUUAGAUUAGCUAGUUGGUAGGGUAAAGGCCUACCAAGGCGACGAUCUAUAGCUGGUCUGAGAGGACGAUCAGCCACACUGGGACUGAGACACGGCCCAGACUCCGACGGGAGGCAGCAGUGGGGAAUAUUGGACAAUGGGCGCAAGCCUGAUCCAGCAAUACCGCGUGUGUGAAGAAGGCCCUAGGGUUGUAAAGCACUUUCAAUAGGGAGGAAAACCUGUCGGUCAAUACCCGGCAGCUUGACAUUACCUAUACAAGAAGCACCGGCUAACUCCGUGCCAGCCGCCGCCGUAAGAC